rnacentral:rRNA from 1 species
AGAGUUUGAUCCUGGCUCAGGAUGAACGCUGGCGGCGUGCCUAAUACAUGCAAGUCGAACGGGAAGUACUAAUUUCGAUUUUUACUUCUAGUGGCGAACGGGUGAGUAACGCGUUGGUGACCUGCCCCGAAGAGGGGGACAACAUUUCGAAAGGGGAGCUAAUACCCCAUGUGGUCGCAGUGAUUAGAAACGCUUCGACUAAAGGAGUAAUCCACUUCGGGAGGGACCUGCGUCCCAUCAGCUAGUUGGUAAGGUAACGGCCUACCAAGGCUAAGACGGGUAGGGGACCUGAGAGGGUGGUCCCCCACACUGGCACUGAAACACGGGCCAGACAUCUACGGAUGGCAGCAGUAGGGAAUAUUGCACAAUGGGCGAAAGCCUGAUGCAGCAACGCCGCGUGCGCGAAGAAGGCCUUCGGGUUGUAAAGCGCUUUUCUGGAGGAAGAGAAAGGACGGUACUCCAGGAAUAAGGAUCGGCUAACUACGUGCCAGCAGCCGCGGUAACACGUAGGAUCCGAGCGUUAUCCGAAUUUACUGGGCGUAAAGCGCGUGUAGGCGGUUGGGUAAGUUGGACGUGAAAGCUCCUGGCUCAACUAGGAGAGGUCGUUCAAAACUGCCUGGCUAGAGGGCGAUAGAGGGAGGUGGAAUUCCCGGUGUAGUGGUGAAAUGCGUAGAUAUCGGGAGGAACACCAGUGGCGAAGGCGGCCUCCUGGGUCGCACCUGACGCUCAGACGCGAAAGCUAGGGGAGCGAACGGGAUUAGAUACCCCGGUAGUCCUAGCUGUAAACGAUGUGAACUUGGCGUUGGUGGGGUCAAAUCCAUCAGUGCCGUAGCUAACGCGAUAAGUUCACCGCCUGGGGACUACGAUCGCAAGAUUAAAACUCAAAGGAAUUGGCGGGGGCCCGCACAAGCAGCGGAGCGUGUGGUUUAAUUCGAUGAUACACGAAGAACCUUACCCGGGUUUGACAUCCAGGUGGUAGGGAACCGAAAGGCGACCGACCCUUCGGGGAGCCUGGACAGGUGCUGCAUGGCUGUCGUCAGCUCGUGUCGUGAGAUGUCCGGUUAAGUCCGGUAACGAGCGCAACCCUUGCUGUAUGUUACAUGUGUCAUACAGGACUGCCGGUUUAGAACCGGAGGAAGGCGGGGAUGACGUCAAGUCAGCAUGGCCUUUAUAUCCGGGGCUACACACACGCUACAAUGGCCAGCACAACAGGUUGCAAAACCGCGAGGUGGAGCCAAUCCCCAAAGCUGGCCUCAGUUCAGAUUGCAGGCUGCAACUCGCCUGCAUGAAGCCGGAGUUGCUAGUAACCGCGCGUCAGCUAUAGUGCGGUGAAUACGUUCUCGGGCCUUGCACACACCGCCCGUCACGUCAUGGAAGCUGACAACACCUGAAGCCGGUAUCCCAACCGCAAGGAGGGAGCUGUCGAAGGUGGGGUUGGUGACUGGGACGAAGUCGUAACAAGGUAGGUGUACCGGAAGGUGCGCCUGGAUCACCUCCUU